rnacentral:rRNA from 1 species
GAUGAACGCUGGCGGCGUGCCUAAUACAUGCAAGUCGAGCGAACAGACGAGGAGCUUGCUCCUCUUACGUUAGCGGCGGACGGGUGAGUAACACGUGGAUAACCUACCUAUAAGACUGGGAUAACUUCGGGAAACCGGAGCUAAUACCGGAUAAUAUAUUGAACCGCAUUGUUCAAUAGUGAAAGACGGUUUUGCUGUCCAUUAUAGAUGGACCCGCGCCGCAUUAGCUAGUUGGUAAGGUAACGGCUUACCAAGGCAACGAUGCGGAGCCGACCUGAGAGGGUGAUCGGCCACACGGGAAGUGAGACACGGCCCAGACUCCUACGGGAGGCAGCAGUAGGGAAUCUUCCGCAAGGGGCGAAAGCGGGACGGAGCAACGCCGCGUGAGUGAUGAAGGUCUUCGGAUCGUAAAACUCUGUUAUUAGGGAAGAACAAAUGUGUAAGUAACUAUGCACGUCUUGACGGUACCUAAUCAGAAAGCCACGGCUAACUACGUG